rnacentral:rRNA from 1 species
UAGCCGUAAACGAUACUCGCUAGGUGUCGGCCACGGCGCGACCGUUGUCGGUGCCGUAGGGAAGCCGUGAAGCGAGCCACCUGGGAAGUACGGCCGCAAGGCUGAAACUUAAAGGAAUUGGCGGGGGAGCACCACAACGGGUGGAGCUUGCGGUUUAAUUGGAUUCAACGCCGGAAAUCUUACCGGGACCGACAGCAACAUGAAGGCCAGGCUGAAGAUUUUGCCGGAUUAGCUGAGAGGUGGUGCAUGGCGUAGUCGUGU